rnacentral:lncRNA from 1 species
CACUAAUAUAAGGUUAAUAAAAGGUAAUAUGCAAACAAAUUGUGAUUUCCAAUAAUGAAAAUGAGCUUUGCAUGAAAUAAUGCAAACCUCAAUUUCUGCCAACGGUGGGACUCGAACCUGAAACCUCUGCUCUCAUAGUAAUGCAUACAAAAUCAGAAGUUAAAUGUUUUAAAAAUAAUUUAUGAUGUACAUCAACAUUAAAAAACUUUACUCAUGGAGGAUUAGGCCAUACAAAAUCCCUUCCUUCUUUUUUCUCUCCUUUUCCCUUUUUUCUCUCUUUUUUCCUCUCUUUUCUUCUUCCCCCUUUUUUCCUUUCUUCCCCCCUCAUGGUGUGCGAGUGUGCCCCAGCUUCUUGCCUACUCUAAAUAAACUUGCACAGCAGAUUUCUAUGUUUACCAACCCAUUUUCUUUUUUGUUAAUAACGAAAUACUCUUAGAAUGCUGCCGUCAAAUUAUAUUUGACUGCAUGCUCUGGAAUAAGGCACAAUAAUAGCGCCAUGUUGUGUGCGUUUUACUGUUUAUUGCGAAAUUAACAAAUGCUAUUGCCCCGAGCUGCCGCUGAGACAUAAAAAAAAAAAAGAAGAAACGUUGAGCAUGCCUAGUCUUGACUCAGGAUUCGAGUGGUCGAUGUUUCUGCAGGGCGAGACAGGAUGCAUAGAUUUGUGUGGGCGGGCGGGACUAGGCUAUACAGUAGCCUAUAUAAAACUCGUGGGAACUAAGGUUGAGAGGAGAGAGUGGAAGCAACUGAAUAGGCUAAGUCGUAAAGCGGUGUAACCUUGGUGCACAAGAUGCAGUCGGCUCUUUCUACCGAUGCCCUUUCUUCAGGCUCGGUGACCAACUUGAGACAAGAAGAGAUUGUCAUAGCUCUGUUAAGCCACUGUCGGUCCAUGAAGCGACAAGAGACGCGGUUUCGUUUAGCAACGGGUUUCAUGUUACUCGUGGGCUUCGUCGUAAUUUGUUUUCUCCCUCAUCUCAAACGAAUGAGUACAAGUGAUGAGGCUGGCAUGGGUGCACAGGGGGGUAAGUGUUUUGUUGUUGUUGUUGUUUAUGUUGUGCCUAUAUUCGCCUAAGCCUACUGAUAGGAGAAGUACAUUCCAAAUGUUAAAUGCACGUAUUUCAGCUUUAUUAAUGUCAUGUUUUUUUUGUUAUUAUUAUUAAGUAUCUCUUGCUCAAGCACAACAUGAUCCCCGACCAAAGCAAGAGCCUGGCUUUCGCCUGAUUCGUAAGUCUCAUUUUGAACGCAAAGCAGAAUGUGUUUUACUUCUUACUGGGGGUUCGGAGGAUUAAGGAGAGUAGGAUAAGUGGAUAGGUAUUAUCCACAAGUUGGACGGUCGGACUUGCGUUUGAACACCCAGUUAAAUAUAUAUUUAUAAGUACAAGUGUUUG